GAACGACUCUCGGCAACGGAUAUCUCGGCUCUUGCAUCGAUGAAGAACGUAGCGAAAUGCGAUACUUGGUGUGAAUUGCAGAAUCCCGUGAACCAUCGAGUCUUUGAACGCAAGUUGCGCCCGAAGCCAUUAGGCCAAGGGCACGCCUGCCUGGGUGUCACAC
rnacentral:rRNA from 1 species